rnacentral:tRNA from 1 species
AAUAGCUCAGUGGUCAGAGCGGCCUUCUGGAGAAGGAAACGUCCCAGGUUCGAAUCCCAGUUG